AUUGAACGCUGGCGGCAUGCCUUACACAUGCAAGUCGAACGGUAACAGGUUAAGCUGACGAGUGGCGAACGGGUGAGUAAUACAUCGGAACGUGCCCAGUAGUGGGGGAUAGCCCGGCGAAAGCCGGAUUAAUACCGCAUACGACCUACGGGUGAAAGGGGGGGAUCGCAAGACCUCUCGCUAUUGGAGCGGCCGAUGUCAGAUUAGGUAGUUGGUGGGGUAAAGGCUCACCAAGCCGACGAUCUGUAGCUGGUCUGAGAGGACGACCAGCCACACUGGGACUGAGACACGGCCCAGACUCCUACGGGAGGCAGCAGUGGGGAAUAUUGGACAAUGGGGGGAACCCUGAUCCAGCCAUGCCGCGUGUGUGAAGAAGGCCUUAUGGUUGUAAAGCACUUUAAGCGAGGAGGAGGCUCUUUUGGUCAAUACCCAAGAUGAGUGGACGUUACUCGCAGAAUAAGCACCGGCUAACUCUGUGCCAGCCGCCGCGGUAA
rnacentral:rRNA from 1 species